rnacentral:sRNA from 1 species
CUAGCUCAGGCCAUGCAGAUUACAAGUUUUAAUUUUUCCUCUCCUCAAACCUGCCUCCUAAGUCAGGCAAGCUAAGUGCUUCAAAGCUACUAAAUGUGUGAAAGUCGCCCCCCACCUCCCUGCCAGCACCUAAAGUUAGCCCCUUUCUUGGCAUGCCGUCCAGUGCUCCUACCAUCUGUCUCUCCUGGUUUGGGCUCAUCUCUUCUCCAGUUCUCAGGAUAUUUCUUGUGAGUAAAUAGGAAACCAGUUCCUGAUAUGUUGGAUUUAAUAGUUCAGAUUCUAAUUUUUCUUAUCCUGACAGUUGACUCUGAACAUCCUUGGUAAAAGAAGAAAUGUUGCACAUCAUCUUUCUAUAGGAUAAUGACACUUCUCUUUUCUAACUUCUAGAACUUCCCGGAACUUGCACAGUCACUAUCAUGAGGCCCCCAUGACCCGGAAGCACUAUCAGGUCACCGGCUAUGGCAUAAAUGGAACAGGGGACUCAAAUGAUUUCUGGCGGAUUGAGGUCGUAAACAGAAAAUUUGGAAACCGG